rnacentral:rRNA from 1 species
GACGAACGCUGGCGGCGUGCUUAACACAUGCAAGUCGAACGGUGAACCUCCGGCUUGCUGGAGUGGAAGAGGCGCGCAGGUGUGUGAUACGCGUGUGAAAUCCGCUUCAGACUUUGGUAUAACUGCUGGAAACGGCGUAUUACUCUGGAUAUGGUAAUGGUGCGCAUGGAGAGUUUCUGGAAGGUUUUUCGGUUGUGGAUGGGCUCGCGGCCUAUCAGCUUGUUGGUGAGGUAAUGGCUCACCAAGGCGACGACGGGUAGCCGGCCUGAGAGGGCGACCGGCAAAACUGGGCCUGGGACAGGGCCCAGACUCCAACGGGAGGAAGCGGUGGGGAAUAUUCACCAAGGGGGGAAGGCCUGUUGCGGCACGGCCGCGUGGGGAAUGCCGGCCUUGGGUUGGUAACCCCCUUCCGGCGGGAAGGAGGCGAAAGUGACGGUACCUGCAGAAGAAGCGCCGGCUAACUACGUG